rnacentral:rRNA from 1 species
UACGUAGGGUGCGAGCGUUGUCCGGAAUUACUGGGCGUAAAGAGCUCGUAGGUGGUUUGUCGCGUUGUCCGUGAAAACUCACAACUCAAUUGUGGGCGUGCGGGCGAUACGGGCAAACUAGAGUGUUGCAGGGGAGACUGGAAUUCCUGGUGUAGCGGUGAAAUGCGCAGAUAUCAGGAGGAACACCGGUGGCGAAGGCGGGUCUCUGGGCAACAACUGACGCUGAGGAGCGAAAGCGUGGGGAGCGAACAGG